rnacentral:misc_RNA from 1 species
AAGGUGCUGAGAUGCUUGUAAAAACUGGUUUUUUUGCAUCGUUAAGUGUGUUGUUGGCUGACCUAUCUAACGGUAGACCUCUCUCAGUAGUUGAGAGGGAGAGAAAUCUGGCAGACACCUUUGAGAAUAAUGAAAGGGCUCAACCCAUUUGGGGACUUAGCUUGGCUGUGGUUACAGCAAUUAUUAACUCUUUAGGAGAAAGUUCGAUUUUCAAUGUGGAACACGUGGUGACUUACUUCCUCUUGGAGAAGGCUGAUCUAAUUUCAUAUUAUCUAAGUGCUCCGGAUUUUCCACCAGAUGAUCAUGAUAAGAAAAGACUUCGGGCACUCAAACCACAUACUUCAUUGAGUGCUCUUAGAGAGAUUGAAAAUACAGUUAUGUUAAUCUGUGUUCUGGCAAAGCAUAGGAA